rnacentral:misc_RNA from 1 species
GGGUUGAACAAUCAAAUGAUGGGAACGUGAACAACUUGCAUGUCGCUCCACCAGGAAUGUUCAAUGAAAAUCCACUCUUUUUCCCUCCUGGUUAUGGCUUUGAUCCACAGAUGGCAUUUGGACAGUUCUCCCCCAUUGCUAGUCCUCUUUCUCCUUUUAUGAUAGAUGGUCAGCUAUACUCACACCAGAUUCCAGUUUCUCCACCUUAUUAUGCACCACCUGUUUCCCCUGGCUUGCCCCAUGUUACAUCAGCUCUUCCAGCUUCACAGCCUGAUCUGGUGGCACCAGGAAGCACUGGCCA